GGGUCCGUAGCUCAGCCUGGACAGAGCAGCAGCCUCCUAAGCUUGAGCAAAUGGGUGGAGAAAGUUGAAGGUCGCGGGUUCAAAUCCCGCCGGAUCCG
rnacentral:tRNA from 1 species